rnacentral:rRNA from 2 species
UGGAUCCAGACUUUGAUCAUGGCUCAGGAUGAACGCUAGCUACAGGCUUAACACAUGCAAGUCGAGGGGAAACGAUAUUGGAAGCUUGCUUCCGAUAGGCGUCGACCGGCGCACGGGUGAGUAACGCGUAUCCAACCUGCCCACCACUUGGGGAUAACCUUGCGAAAGUAAGACUAAUACCCAAUGAUAUCUCAAGAAGACAUCUGAAUGAGAUUAAAGAUUUAUCGGUGAUGGAUGGGGAUGCGUCUGAUUAGCUUGUUGGCGGGGUAACGGCCCACCAAGGCGACGAUCAGUAGGGGUUCUGAGAGGAAGGUCCCCCACACUGGAACUGAGACACGGUCCAAACUCCUACGGGAGGCAGCAGUGAGGAAUAUUGGUCAAUGGGCGAGAGCCUGAACCAGCCAAGUAGCGUGCAGGAUGACGGCCCUAUGGGUUGUAAACUGCUUUUAUAAGGGAAUAAAGUGAGUCUCGUGAGGCUUUUUGCAUGUACCUUAUGAAUAAGGACCGGCUAAUUCCGUGCCAGCAGCCGCGGUAAUACGGAAGGUCCGGGCGUUAUCCGGAUUUAUUGGGUUUAAAGGGAGCGUAGGCCGGAGAUUAAGCGUGUUGUGAAAUGUAGAUGCUCAACAUCUGCACUGCAGCGCGAACUGGUUUCCUUGAGUACGCACAAAGUGGGCGGAAUUCGUGGUGUAGCGGUGAAAUGCUUAGAUAUCACGAAGAACUCCGAUUGCGAAGGCAGCCCACUGGAGCGCAACUGACGCUGAAGCUCGAAAGUGCGGGUAUCGAACAGGAUUAGAUACCCUGGUAGUCCGCACGGUAAACGAUGGAUGCCCGCUGUUGGUCUGAAUAGGUCAGCGGCCAAGCGAAAGCAUUAAGCAUCCCACCUGGGGAGUACGCCGGCAACGGUGCAACUCAAAUGAAUUGACGGA